CCAUGAAGUUGGAAUCCCUAGUAAUCGCGCGUCAUCAUCGCGCGGUGAAUAUGUCCCCGCUCCUUGCACACACCGCCCGUCAAGCCAUCCAAGCGGGGUUCUAGUGAGGCUUCGGCUUCGGCCGGAUUCGAGCUAAGACUCUGUGAGGGGGGUUAAGUCGUAAA
rnacentral:rRNA from 1 species